AUCUAUCAGAAAAUGCUGCUCAUCCUGCUCGCAGUGCUCAUCUUGCACCUCAUCAUCCUGGUCUUACUGUUUGUCUCAACAAUUGCCAAUGCCUGGACUGUAGGAGGAACCAAGAUAACUGACCUGUGGUACAGCUGUCUCACACUAAGUAGGAUAUACUGCAGUUCUGCCCAAUGAAGGUUGUCUAAGACACGAGCACCAAAGAGGGUGGAUAAAGAGCAUAUUUUACUCAGACGGUUUACCAUUGAAAAGAAUGGACACGGUUCCUGUCUGUCUCAGUUGGGCCUUUCCUCUAUCGCAUGAGCAGGCUUUUCCCACAUGAGCUCACGAUUCCUCUAUAAUAUCUGGCAUGCAUGACUGUUCCUCUAUAAUAUCUGACAUGCUGACUGACUGUUCCUCUAUAAUACCUGGCAUGCUGACUGACUGUUCCUCCAUAAUAUCGCAUGAGCAGGCUUUUCCCACAUGAGCUCACGAUUCCUCUAUAAUAUCUGGCAUGCUGACUGACGUGUUCCUCUAUAAUACCUGGCAUGCUGACUGACUGUUCCUCAAUAAUAUUGGCAUGCUGACUGACUGUUCCUCCAUAAUAUCGCAUGAGCAGGCUUUUUCCCACAUGAGCUCACGAUUCCUCUAUAAUAUCUGGCAUGCUGACUGUUUCCUCCAUAUAUCACAUGAGCAGGCUUUUCCCACAUGAGCUCACGAUUCCUCUAUAAUAUCUGGCAUGCUGACUGACUGUUCCUCUAUAAUAUCUGACAUGCUGACUGACUGUUCCUCAUAAAUAUCUGUCAUGCUGACUGACUGUUCCUCUAUAAUAUCUGGCUGCUGACUGACUUUCCUCUAAUAUCUGUCAUGCUGCCUGUUUCCUCCAUAAUAUCUGGCAUGCUGACUGACUUGUUCCUCUAUAAUAUCUGUCAUGCUGACUGUUCCCCAUAAUAUCGCAUGAGCAGGCUUUCCCCAUAGCUCACGAUUCCUCUAUAAUAUCUGGCAUGCUGACUGUUCCUCCUCCAUAAUAUCUGUCAUAAUAUCUGUCAUGCUGACUGUUCCUCUAUUAUAUCUGGCAUGCUGACUGUUCCUCUAUUAAUCUGUCAUGCUGACUGUUUCCCUAUUAUAUCUGUCAUGCUGACUGUUCCUCUAUUAUAUGGUCAUGCUGACUGUCCUCUAUUAUAUCUGUCAUGCUGACUGUUCCUCCAUAAUAUCUGGCAUGCUGACUGUUCCUCCAUAUAUCUGGCAUGCUGACUGACUGUUCCUCUUAAUCUGUCAUGCUGACGACUGUUUCCUCUAUAUUAUCUGUCAUGCUGAGUUCCUCUAUAUUAUCUGUCAUGCUGACUGUUCCUCCUCCUCAUAAACAUGCUGACUGUUCCUCCAUAUUAUCUGUCAUGCUGACUGUUCCUCCAUAAUAUCUGGCAUGCUGACUGACUGUUCCUCCAUAAUAUCUGUCAUGCUGACUGUUCCUCCAUAAUAUCUGUCAUGCUGACUGACUGUUCCUCCAUAAUAUCUGUCAUGCUGACUGUUCCUCCAUAAUAUCUGUGAUGCUGACUGACUGUUCCUCCAUAAUAUCUGUCAUGCUGACUGACUGUUCCUCCAUAAUAUCUGGCAUGCUGACUGUUCCUCCAUAAUAUCUCACACCAGAGAGGGAAGAGCUUGCUCUGGUCUACUUAUUGUCCCCUCCCGCUCACCCCCUUCGUCCCGCUCUGACAAUAAAACAUAAGCCAGUGAGAUGUCAGGCCCUGGGGACCUCCCUCUGCCGGCCAAUAAGUAGACCAGAGUGGCCCCGCCCUCACCAGACAACAUGAGGGUGUGGGGUGUCUUGCUUUCUCUACCGUCUCCACUAUCCACCUAGAGGUCAAACAAUCAUUAUCCACCUAGAGGACAAACUAUCAUUAUCCACCUAGAGGACAAACUAUCAUUAUCCACCUAGAGGUCAAACUAUCAUUAUCUACCUAGAGGUCAAACUAUCACUAUCCACCUAGAGGACAAACUAUCACUAUCCACCUAGAGGACAAACUAUCACUAUCCACCUAGAGGACAAUAGUGAUACUGCAUUCUGUGUAAGCCAACACUCUCAUCCAACCUCUAUUGAAUAAUGAGAUUUUACAUUAUAACAGCUCCAGCUCUGUUAUCAGUUAAUCAGCCAAUCAAAUUCAUUCAUACAGCCCAUUUUACAGCAACAUUUGUCACAAAGUGCUUUACAGUAAGCCAGCCUCCCACCUAACGGUAGUUAGCUGUUCAUGUUUUGAUAUGUUGUGCUACUUUAUGUUAUACAAAACUGAUGUUAGGUUGUUACUUUACCAGCAAAAACAUUGUAAUCAGAUUACAGAUCAUUUUGGAAAACUAAAUGAUUACUUCUAGGAUCACUUUUAAAUUCAGAAAGGAUUGUUUGUGUAAAAAAAAAUCUUUGACACCGUUCUGUUUUCUCAAUUAUAUUCAAAUUAGCUUUGUUAAUUAAAAGGUGCAAGUUUAAAUUUGUUCCGUCUGAGUGAGUCUGACCACAAGACAGAGACCACUAUGAUGACACACCAAAUGUGUUUGAUGGAUCGCGGGAAAAGAGCAGGAAUGGGCUUUUGUAGGCUACAGUCCAAGCUAAGUCUUCCAAUGGUGCGACUGCUGUCGGCAUCUAAAGAUGAUCCUACCUGAAUAAACGCUUGGAGGUCAGGAGGACAGCAGUGGUGUCGUCUAGGAGUGCAGUGGUGUUGUUUAGGGGUGCAGUGGUGUUAUCUACGGGUGCAGUGGUGUCGUCUAGGGGUGCAGUGGUGUUUUUCUCAGUGGUGUUGUCUAGGGGUGCAGUGUUGUUAUCUAGGGUGCAGUGUGUUACGGGUGCAGUGGUUGGUCAGGUGGUGUUGUCUAGGGUGCAAGUGGUGUUAUCUACGGUGCAGUGGUGUCGUCUAGGGUGUGCAGUGGUGUUGUCUAGGGUGCAGUGGUGUUUCAGGGGUUGCAGUGGUUGUUGUUAGGGGUGCAGUGGUGUCGUCUAGGGGUGCAGUGGUGUCGUCUAG
ensembl:lncRNA